CUACGUGCCAGCAGCCGCGGUAAUACGUAGGGGGCAAGCGUUAUCCGGAUUUACUGGGCGUAAAGGGUGCGUAGGCGGUCUUACAAGUCAGGAGUGAAAGGCUACGGCUCAACCGUAGUAAGCUCUUGAAACUGUUAGACUUGAGUGCAGGAGAGGAGAGUGGAAUUCCUAGUGUAGCGGUGAAAUGCGUAGAUAUUAGGAGGAACACCAGUUGCGAAGGCGGCUCUCUGGACUGUAACUGACGCUGAGACACGAAAGCGUGGGGAGCA
rnacentral:rRNA from 1 species